GCCGUUGUAGCUCAAAGCAGAGCGCCGCCUAGCUAAGGCGGGUCACAUUGACGAUACGCGGGAUGUGUUUCCCUCGGCCCUGUCCACCGAGAGCGCAACACUCUUGCAGGUGCCGGUUCAAAUCCGGCCAACGGCU
rnacentral:tRNA from 1 species